rnacentral:rRNA from 1 species
UGUGAAACCCCUUCGACGAGUCGAGUUGUUUGGGAAUGCAGCUCAAAAUGGGUGGUAAAUUUCAUCUAAAGCUAAAUACUGGCUGGAGACCGAUAGCGCACAAGUAGAGUGAUCGAAAGAUGAAAAGCACUUUGGAAAGAGAGUCAAAAAGUACGUGAAAUUGUUGAAAGGGAAGCGCUUGCAACCAGACCUGUCCGCAGGUGAUCAGCCGCCGUUCUCGGUGGUGCACUCGCCUGCGAUCAGGCCAGCAUCGGUUCGGGCGGUCGGAUAAAGGCCUUGGGAAUGUAGCUCCUCUCGGGGAGUCUUAUAGCCCUCGGUGCAAUGCGGCCAGCCCGGACCGAGGACCGCGCUUCGGCUAGGAUGCUGGCGUAAUGGUUGUAAGCGACCCGUCUUGAAACACGGACCAAGGAGUCUAACAUCUAUGCGAGUGUUUGGGUGUCAAACCCAUGCGCGGAAUGAAAGUGAACGGAGGUGAGAACCCUUUAGGGCGCAUCAUCGACCGAUCCAGAUGUCUUCGGAUGGAUUUGAGUAUGAGCAUAGCUGUUGGGACCCGAAAGAUGGUGAACUAUGCCUGAAUAGGGUGAAGCCAGAGGAAACUCUGGUGGAGGCUCGCAGCGGU